UUUUCAGCUAUAAAAUACAAUAGUAAUUACUGUACUUUCUUCAAGUGUCUUUGUUAAUAUUUGAAAAAUGUUUUAAUCUGAUAUUACAAAGGUGUUUGAGGGCCUGGCAUGUGGCUCAUGCCUGUAAUCUCAGCACUUUGGGAGACCAAGGCAGGCGGAUCACUUGAGGUCAGGAGUUUGAGACCAGCCUGGCCAACAUGGUAAAACCCUGUCUCUACUAAAAAUACAAAAAUUAGCCAGUUGUGGUGGUGCACACCUGUAGUCCCAGCUACCUGGGAGGCAGAGGCAGAGGCUCGACCUGGGAGGCAGAGGUUUCAGUGAGCUGAGAUCACGCCACUGCACUCCAGCUUGGGCUACAGAGUGAGACUCCAUCUCAAAAAAAAAAAAAAAAAAAAAAAAAGAAAAAAAAAAAAAAAAAACAAAAAAAAUUAUUUUAUUCUACUUUUUUUUUUUGGUACAAAUUAUGUAAAACAUUUGUGCUAAGAACUUUUCUCCCUCCCCAAACAAAAAAGAAAAUAAAAAAUAAAAAAAAUUAAAAAAUUAAAAAUUGAGUAUUCUAACUACAGCUCAACAAUUGAAUCAAAUGUCACUUUGUUUUGUAAAUACUUUAUCCAUAACGAAAGAUAUAAACAUGCAAAAAACCUGAAUCCAUAGUCCAAAUAAUACAUACACAUGUUCUGAAGUUUCUGCACUUCUCCAUAGACUAUGCCAGUAAAACAUUAUGUACACAUACCAUUUUUACAGUGAAGUGGAAAAAUACAGAAAUAAAAAAGUGUACAUGGAUUAAGACCA
rnacentral:lncRNA from 13 species